AAAAAAAAAAAAAAAAAAACUUACAUCCCUUCUCCCCACCAUCCUGUUAUCACAGGAGAUCUAUAAGGACAGGCAGAAAUUCUCAGAACAGGUUUUCAAAGUGGCCUCCUCAGACCUGGUCAACAUGGGCAUCAGUGUGGUUAGCUACACUCUGAAGGACAUUCACGAUGACCAGGACUAUUUGCACUCUUUGGGGAAGGCUCGAACAGCUCAAGUCCAAAAAGAUGCACGGAUUGGAGAAGCAGAGGCCAAGAGAGAUGCUGGGAUCCGGGAAGCUAAAGCCAAGCAGGAAAAGGUGUCUGCUCAGUACCUGAGUGAGAUCGAGAUGGCC
rnacentral:lncRNA from 1 species